GUUAACACAGGGUUUACAUACCGUACUACCGAGGCACUCUUCUGUCGACAUUUCAUACAUCUGAGAAAUAUGAAAAACACGUGGAAUCACCAGACAAAGAUCAUGAAGGUGAUGAAGGUAGCUAGCAUUGCAGAAAAAUUCAUAACCCGCACAUAAUAGGAUCCACGCCAAAAAGUUCCGUGUAUGUAAACGAAGAUCGGAUGAUCAGAUAUCGUUCAAG